rnacentral:rRNA from 1 species
AACGAACGCUGGCGGCGCGCCUAAUACAUGCAAGUCGAGCGAGAAGACGUAGCAAUACGUUUGUAAAGCGGCGAACGGGUGAGGAAUACAUGGGUAACCUACCCUCGAGUGGGGAAUAACUAGCCGAAAGGUUAGCUAAUACCGCGUACGCUCCUUGGACUUCGGUUCAGGGAGGAAAGCGAUACCGUGGGUAUCGCGCUCUUGGAUGGGCUCAUGUCCUAUCAGCUUGUUGGUGAGGUAACGGCUCACCAAGGCUUCGACGGGUAGCUGGUCUGAGAGGACGAUCAGCCUACACUGGCACUGCGACACGGGCCAGACUCCUACGGGAGGCAGCAGUAAGGAAUAUUGCGCAAUGGGCGAAAGCCUGACGCAGCGACGCCGCGUGGGGGAUGAAGGUCUUCGGAUUGUAAACCCCUUUCGGGAGGGAAGAUGGAACGAGCAAUCGUUCGGACGGUACCUCCAGAAGCAGCCACGGCUAACUUCGUGCCAGCCGCCGCCGUAA